GACGAACGCUGGCGGCGUGCCUAAUACAUGCAAGUCGAGCGGGCCUCCGGAGGUGCUUGCACCUCCGGAAGGCCAGCGGCGGACGGGUGAGUAACACGUGGGCAACCUGCCUUUGAGGCCGGGAUAACACCGGGAAACCGGUGCUAAUACCGGAUGCGUCCGCUUUCGCGCCUGCGAGAGGGGAGAAAGACGGUCUUUAAGGCCGUCGCUCCAAGAGGGGCCCGCGGCGCAUUAGCUGGUUGGUGGGGUAAGGGCCUACCAAGGCGACGAUGCGUUGCCGACCUGAGAGGGUGAUCGGCCACACUGGGACUGAGACACGGCCCAGACUCCUGCGGGAGGCAGCAGUAGGGAAUCAUCCGCAAUGGGCGAAAGCCUGACGGUGCAACGCCGCGUGAGUGAGGAAGGUUUUCGGAUCGUAAAGCUCUGUUGUGAGGGAAGAACAGCUUCCGGAGGAAAUGCCGGGAGCCUGCCGGUACCUCACCAGAAAGCCCCGGCUAACUACGUGCCAGCCGCCGCGGUAAGAC
rnacentral:rRNA from 1 species